ACGUUCCCGGUCAGCUGUGCAGCUGGCUCGGCGUGCCCCGUAGGUCCCCAGCUGCCCCACGCGGGACCCCCAAAUCCAGAGAAGCCAGGCCCUGCGUCUGCCGACAGCGACCUCUGAACCCCGCUGCCCCGGGAGGUCGAAGCGCAAGGGAAUCGGGAACCGCGUCCGGGGAGCAACCGGGGGACACCCCAGCCGCACUGGGAGCCCUCCAGAAGUGCCUCCUGGAAAGAAGCCCUGUCACCCAACCACCAAAAGAGGGAGUCUUCUGCAGGAUGACAUCUGUCUCUGACAGGUCAGAUGCCUUUGCCUAGCCAUAUCAAGACAUACUGACCCAGUCUGCAGGCCAUGAGAAAAAGCUUCCUGGUCCGCACUGGAAGAGCACAUGCAACGAGAGACAAUAAAGCUCAGAGUGAGCAAAUGAGAAGGAAGCACAGCCAGAAGGAAGAGACCUGAAGCUCGGUGCAAGGCCCUGCAGAGCCUGAGGGCUGCUUCUGAGAAAAGCAUCCUAAGACCAGGAAGCCACAGGGACUCUUGAGCCUCCAGGUAGUGAGCCUUUCCCUAAUGCCCACCCAGAGUCCUAGAUGUGCAGACCACAGGAACCGACAUCUGUGUGCAGCACCGAGACAGGGACGAGAGACUUCUCUGUACAGGAAACAACCCAAGCCCCACUGGAUGGCACAGGUCACAGAAGACACA